rnacentral:Y_RNA from 13 species
GGCUGGUCCGAUAGUAGUGGGUUAUCAGAGCUUAUUAACAUUAGUGUCACUAAAGUUGGUAUUCAACCCCCCCACUGCUAAAUUUGACUGGCUUUU